rnacentral:rRNA from 1 species
GACGAACGCUGGCGGCGUGCUUAACACAUGCAAGUCGAACGGGAUUUAGUAGACAGAAGCCUCGGCUAAAGAUUACUAAUGAGAGUGGCGAACGGGUGAGUAACGCGUGAGCAACCUGCCUAUGACAGUGGGAUAGCCUCGGGAAACCGGGAUUAAUACCGCAUAAAAUCGUAGAAACACAUGUUUCAACGGUCAAAGAUUUAUCGGUCAUAGAUGGGCUCGCGUCUGAUUAGCUAGUUGGUGAGAUAACAGCCCACCAAGGCGACGAUCAGUAGCCGGUCUGAGAGGAUGAACGGCCACAUUGGAACUGAGACACGGUCCAAACUCCUACGGGAGGCAGCAGUGGGGAAUAUUGCACAAUGGGGGAAACCCUGAUGCAGCGACGCCGCGUGAACGAAGAAGGUAUUCGUAUCGUAAAGUUCUGUCCUAUGGGAAGAUAAUGACAGUACCAUAGAAGAAAGCUCCGGCUAAAUACGU